ensembl:lncRNA
ACCAUGUCCACCUGCAGGAGUGGAUUCCAAUUCCUGAAUUCUCAAUUCCAGGGUAAACCAUUUAUUGUCUUCAAUGAUCUCUGCUUCUCUGCAGUUUUCACCAGUUUCUAAGAUUUAACCUGUGAGUUCUGGAUAAAUUCUGGUUUAAUUUGCUGCAUAUGUUCUGUCUACGCUCUGGCAUUUCUCUGGGAUAAGGAAUUCUUUCUUCUUACCUAUGUCAUAUUUUUUGUGCUAUUGUUUUUUUGUGGGAGAAAAAAUAGUUUAAAUAUCAGGGCAGGAAAAUACAACAGAAAAUCUGAGUGAUAUGAACUUAGAGCUGUCCUAUGUCCUAUAUACCUGACACAAGUAUAUAAUUUUUUGUAUAAUUUUUUACAUCUCACAGAACUGAUUUCUGAAGCACAGGAACGUUAAUUUGGUUAUAAAACUGUAAUAUUGACAUCUAUUAUAGCACUAUAUUAGCAUCUAUAAUAUAUAUAUAUUAUUCUAUAACAAAAUCCAUAAUUUUAUCUGUUGGCCUAAAUUUUAAUCGCAUUAUUUAUGUAUAGAUUAUAUGGUCUUACAGAAGUAGCAAGGUGGAGAAGAAGAUGAGGGUGUUGCAGUUCAACUGUAAGGCACAGAGCUGUAGGAAACCUGACUUUAUUAAUUACAGAACUACCUGGAUUUCUUUUUAGAAUAUUUUCCCUAAUAAGAUUGUAGUUGAUAAUGAACAUAUGAGCAUGAACAUGUUUUCAAGUGGUUGUAAAGAAAAGGGGGAAAAAACACUAUCCAAAUAAUUAUUUUCAAAAUCUUCCCAGUGCUUCUGAAAGUCAGAUUUCAACUGCAAAGCUGUUUCAUUUUUGUAUUAUGUAAUGUGUGUUGUCUGGUAUUUUUACUUUGCAAUAGAGCAAAAAGCAGCUUCAGUUCUCAGACACUUGAUUUUUCAAGAUAUUUUUAAAGAGUUAAAAAUUGAAAGAUGUUAUUUUUACAUGUUCCCUUCAUAUACGCUGUAACUUCUCAAAUAUUGUAUGCUUACUCUGCUUAUCCGUUUCUUAGUGGUAAUUAAUUCCAGUGGAUGUUUCAGGCACAUGCAAAUCAGCUGGAGCGUUCCCUGUUUCCAUCUGCAGCUUCUAACAUUCAUGUUAAGAGAAAGCAGUUACAUUAGAUUUUAAAAUGCUGUUUAAGAUCAGUACUUAGUUGAUUCCACAGGUACUUCAGAGAGCAUGAUGAAAUUCUACUGGCACUUUAUAAGAAGAAAUGGUUACAAAAAGAAUAAUAAAUAACUUAGGAGGCCACAAUGGGAAGAAAAAAAAAAGAGUGUAUAUAAAAAAAAAAAAAGAAUGUAUGUAAUGUACUGUUUACAUUAUUAAACCACUUAGUU